UACGUAGGUGGCAAGCGUUAUCCGGAAUUAUUGGGCGUAAAGCGCGCGUAGGCGGUAGAAUAAGUCUGAUGUGAAAGCCCUGGCCCAACCAGGGAGGGUCAUUGGAAACUGUUUUACUUGAGUACAGAAGAGGAGAGUGGAAUUCCAUGUGUAGCGGUGAAAUGCGCAGAGAUAUGGAGGAACACCAGUGGCGAAGGUGGCUCUCUGGUCUGUAACUGACGCUGAGGUGCGAAAGCGUGGGGAUCAAACAGGAUUAGAUA
rnacentral:rRNA from 1 species